rnacentral:lncRNA from 1 species
GAUCACCUAUCCUCCUUGACUACUCGGGUGUGUUCUUUCCUCUCUCUUCUCUCUCUUAUUUUAUGUUUGUUUCUUUCAUUGAGGACAAUGCAUAUUUUAAGUGUGGGGGAGGGAAUACUUUAGUUUCUUUGUUUUUGUUCUUUGUUUUGUUUUGUUUUUGUUUUCUUUCUAAAAAAAUUGCAUCUUCUUGAAAGUUUUAGGCUAUAGAUUACUUUGAGUCGAGUUUGCGGAGACUUGAGAAAAAUUCACAAGAUCGGUAUUGUUUUAACACCGUAAGUCUCCUGCAUAUGGAAAUUGAGUUGAAUUUUUAUUAUGUUUUAGCCUUAAAUUCUCAUUCUCUGACAGCUCUUGAGUAGUUUAUUUCAGCAGUCAGCACCAUCUCACACACACUCUACGCAGGGAAGCCGAUGAAUAUAAGUGAGUGUUCCGAAAAAGAAAAAAAAA